rnacentral:rRNA from 1 species
UACGUAGGGUGCAAGCGUUGUCCGGAAUUAUUGGGCGUAAAGAGCUCGUAGGCGGUUUGUCGCGUCUGCUGUGAAAACUCGGGGCUUAACUCCGGGCCUGCAGUGGGUACGGGCAGACUAGAGUGCGGUAGGGGAGACUGGAAUUCCUGGUGUAGCGGUGAAAUGCGCAGAUAUCAGGAGGAACACCGGUGGCGAAGGCGGGGUCUCUGGGCCGAUACUGACGCUGAGGAGCGAAAGCGUGGGGAGCAAACAGG